CAGGUAUCAGCUGAUUGUGUUAGCUCAUCUCGAUGUAAGUAAACUUAAAGGAUUGCAUAAGUUAUCCCUCUGCCAUAGCUGGCUAUGCAAUAUAUAUUGAUAUAUGAUUAUGUCCUACAUGAUCUCGUGAUACUUUCGGUCGAUAACAUUAAUGGACAGGGAAAUGUAGACCGAUAUAAAGGAGUACACGGUCUCUUCACCCAGUUGGUUAGGGCGGCGCGUGUUACAAGGUUUUGCUGUUUGCACUGUGAAAGAUAUCAAAAUUUUAAAUGAUUUGCACCCACUUUUAGUGAAAUGUUGUUUAUUGAAUAUAACUGUUUUGGCAGUGUUGCAAUGUUCACAUAGUCAUCUGCUAAAGUCAGUCGGCACACGCAACUCAAUUCAAUACUUCCAUUCAAAUCCCUUUUUUAUUUCUUAAACUAAUAACAAAGUUCAGUCAUUACCGUACUAUGUGAUUUUAAGGUAGUCAGAAACAUCAUGGCUUUUUGUCGCAGUAAGUUGCGUUCACGUGGUUAUUCCGACCCAUGCUCGGUCCCCUCCCAAAGUACCUGUGCAUCUGAAAUACCGGUAUGGGUGCCUCUUGUAAAGGGCCUUUUCAGACAUGUUUCAGACAAAUUCCAAAGUCAUGAUUAAUAUCAUUCAUUGCUAUGUAGCUGAGAAGGAAAGGUGUUUGAUCAAUAACUGGUGAUGGGCAUUGUGGUAGCAACAUUGCACUGAAAACAACUCUUGAACUAGGACCCUAUCUGCCCAAGACUAAGGCCUACAAGCACUACAGCCCCAUGCCUUCAGUGCUCCAGCAAGAACCAGUAAACCACCACAAAUAUUUUUGAGUAAAUCAUUAUGGGCUGAUAACUCCCACACAGGGCCGGAUUAUCCUAUAGGCUAGUAUAGGCUGCAGCCUAGAGCCCCUUAAGCUUAGGGGCCCCAGGCUUGAGGGGCCCUGCUAAAAGAUUUUAAUUUUUUUUUUUUUUUAAUUGAGUAUAAUAUUUUAAUAUUUUGCAUUGCAUUUGUGGCCCCUUUUUUGAGAUAAAGGGUCCCUGUUUGAGGCCCUUUAUUUGAGAGAAGGGGCCCCAGUUUAAAGCCGUUUAUUUGAGAUCAGGGGCCCCAGUUUGGCGCCCUAGCUGUAAAUCAUGGGACUCCAGUCCAUGUUCGUUUAUCAUCUUGCUAAACAUUUAUUUGUGAAUGUAGCUUAUAUUUUGUUUUUAGCUCACUUUUUUGGCUAGACAAUGUAAAAAAAAUUCUACUUCAACAUGUAUUUUAACAAAUCUCCUUUUUUUUAGAUUCUUUAUCUCAGUCCAAUUAUAAUUAUGAAGCAGCAUGAAAGUGGAUUUCAAAAAAGGAAAAAGAAGCAGCAACUUCAACAGCAGCUUCAGCAGAUUCCCAAGUUAGAUAAAUUCAUAAUACAAACUUACUUAGAAGAGACUGCUCCAGAACAAGAUUCUAGUACCCAAAUUGAAUCAACUGAACUCAAAGUAGGUGAAUGCAGUGGUGAGCAGAAUUUAGAGUCUGAGUCAGUUUGCGAGCUAGAAGAAGAAAUAUCACAGUUAUCUUGAUCCAUAAGUCCUCAUGUGGAAGUCGAACAGAGGGACAUUUCCAGUGAUGAAAAUGAAGAGUGAAAAGAAACUGAAAAUCAAAGCAGUAAUGAUCUUUCGAAAUGGCACUCUCUGUCAGAUGAAGACAGGACUUAUUGGAUUGACAAAGGUCCUUCUGAUUGUCAGCACUGGAAUGACAAUUUUGCAAAAUCAAAGCAUAUCUUCAAAAAACAAAACAUAUAUUGUUCUAAAGGCAUCUUCCAAGGAAUAAAAGCCAAUUGAGAAAAAUUCAAUAGAGAAUGGCUGGUAUAUUCUCCCUCAACAAGAUGUGUUUUUUGUUUUGUCUGUAAGUUAUUUUCUUCUUCAAGUGGAGCUUUGGUAACACAUGGUUUCUCUGAUUGGAAAAACACAAACUUCAUCCAAUCUCAUGAAAACUCAAUGGAGCACAGAAACUCAGUACUCACUCAUUUGAGUAGAAAGUGCUCCGCAAAUUUAGAUUCAAAACUCUCUGAACAGAUACAAGCUGAGAAAGAGUAUUUGAAGCAAGUACUUCACAGAUGUGUAGAAGUGAUCAAAACAUUAAGUGAACAUGGAUUGGCUUUUAGAGGAGACAGUUAAAUAAUAGGAUCCCCCAACAAUGGGAACUACUUGGGAUUGUUAGAACUGAUUUCCAAAUUUGACCUGUUUUUAUCCAAUCACAGAAAACUAUGGUAACAAGGGCACAGGUUCAACUUCAUAUCUCUCAUAAACCAUAGGCGAUGAGUUAAUCUUGCUGAUGGGAAAACACGUGUUGCAAUCUAUUUUGGAUGAAAUAAAGCAAGCAGGGUUUUUCAGCCUUAGUGUAGAUUCUACCCCAGAUCUUUCUCAUAUGGACCAAUUGACCAUAAUUUUGAGAUAUGUGUCACCUCAAACAGGAGUUCCAGUUGAAAUAUUUAUAACAUUCUUAAAAUUGGAAGAGCACACUAGUCUUUAUAUGGCUAAUUUGGUUGUUGAUUAUUUAGUGAAUGAAUGUGGCAUUGACUUCUCAAAAUCAUACGACAACGCCGCUAACAUGAGUGGUAAAUACAAUUGCGUACAAACUCACAUCUUAAAGCAAAACAAAUAUGCCUACUUGUUCCAUGUGCCGGUCAUUUGCUCAAUCUGAUAGGCCAAGCUGCAGCAGAUUGCUCGCUUGAAGCGGUUAAUUUUUUCGGCAUCAUUCAGGAAAUUUAUCAUUUCUUUUCAGAAAGCGCUCCACAAAUUUAGAUUCAAAACUCUCUGAACAGAUACAAGCUGAGAAAGAUAUUCUUAGACAAAAUGUCUGACCUAGAAUUUUAUAUUACGCUUGAAUUAUGGAACUGCAUUUUAUCAGAAUUUCACAAAGUGAGCAAAUCUUUGCAGGAUCCUGAGAUUUCUUUGGUAACCUGUGCCACUCUUUAUUCUUCUCUGUCAGCAUUUACUAAUAGUUUAAAAAAAAGAUUUUGGAAAUAUUGAAAAUGAAGCAAAAAGUCAUGUUCCCAAUGUUGACUACAGAAGUACAUCUAAAAGGGCAAGAAAAAGAAAAAGACAUUUUGAUGAACUUUCUGAUCCUGCAGAGCCAGAAGAGCAACUUUCCCCACAAGACACAUUUCAACUGAAGUCUUUCAAUCCCAUCUUGGAAGCAUUGGAAUCAAAUCUUUCAAAAAAAGCAGAGGUGUACACAUUUAUUACCCAAACUUUUUCAUUCCUUACUUAUCUAGAAAAUUCAGAGGAAACGAUGUCAACGGGAGUCAAAAACUGGAUUGAAGCAUACCCUGAAGAUGUGGAUGAGACAUUCUUAGCCAAAUUAAGGCAUUUCCACCUCCAUAUGAAAAAGAAAUGUUCUGAACAAAAGAAAUUCAGUCAUCAAGAUCUUUAUACUGUUAUCUUUGAAGACAAAGUUCAGCCUGGUAACAAACUGUUCUGGUGAGCGAAGUUUUUCUCAGUUAAAGCGGAUAAAAAAACGGCUUCUCUCUUCACUCUCAAGAAUAUCUAACUUCACUCAAUGUAAUGUGUAUCGAAAGUGACAAAUUGCGAGAGCUGUCAUUUGAUAAAAUUAUUGAAGACUUUGCAGGAAGCAAAGCAAGGAAACGAAUGUUUUAGUCUUUCAAGUAGAUAACAUGUUUGAUUUUAGUUCAGAAUGUUUAAAUCUUAGAAAUCUUUAUAAAGCAGUGAUUUUAAUUUUCUAGAUAUUAUAACUUCUAAAUAGCUUCAUAAACUGAAAUGAUAUCAAUAUAUAUACAAACUCAUAUUGAUUUUGAUUGUUUUAUUGUUAUAAUGCUGGUUAUAUAUAUUUUUUUUUCUUUUUUUCCCCACUACGGUUGUGUUGAAACAUAGUAAAAUAGUGGUAUUUAAAGAAUAUUUUUAUUGACAAACAAAAGAUAGCUAUGCUAGUUUAUUCAAAGAAUUUGCAAUAAGUUUACUUCAAGCUAUGUAAAUGUCGCUAAAAUAUAUCACGAGUAAAAAAUAUUCAAGACGGGUGCAGCCGAGUUAGAGGGUGGCUCUGUCUGAGGGGGCCCCAUAAUUUCUUUAGCCUAGGGGCCCCAAAAGGUCAUAAUCCGGCCCUGCUCCCACAUCAUAUCGCUGAUGGAAUGGAAUGAAAGGAGUGGACUAGUUGCAAGGGUGUCAGUAUGCUUUUUGUUCCUUGUUAUUUGAUUAAUUAAAAAAUGAUCAGUUUUGUAUAAAAAAAAUUAAUUACAGAAUAGUCAAUUUCAUUUUAUGUUCUGAUAAAAUCAUUAUAUUGAAAUUAUUUAAAAUGAUUUUGCUAUUAAGUGAAGUGCUGGCAAUUGAGAGACCUUAAGUUGUUGAUAGUGCGUAGUAGUAAGGGGGAGGAUUGAAAUGUAACAUGAGUUCAGUGUGAUAUUUAUCAUUUUGCUGAUUUCCUUUUACAGAAAUUGUUUAUUGUUGUAAAGUGGCCAUACUUAAAUAAUAAAUAUCCUUCCAAGUUUUUUUAAA
rnacentral:lncRNA from 1 species